AUUGAACGCUGGCGGCAUGCUUUACACAUGCAAGUCGAACGGCAGCGCGGGCUUCGGCCUGGCGGCGAGUGGCGAACGGGUGAGUAAUACAUCGGAACGUGCCCAGUAGUGGGGGAUAGCUCGGCGAAAGCCGGAUUAAUACCGCAUACGACCUGAGGGUGAAAGCGGGGGAUCUUCGGACCUCGCGCUAUUGGAGCGGCCGAUGGCAGAUUAGCUAGUUGGUGGGGUAAAGGCCUACCAAGGCUACGAUCUGUAGCUGGUCUGAGAGGAAGACCAGCCACACUGGGACUGAGACACGGCCCAGACUCCUACGGGAGGCAGCAGUGGGGAAUUUUGGACAAUGGGCGAAAGCCUGAUCCAGCAAUGCCGCGUGUGUGAUGAAGGCCCUCGGGUUGUAAAGCACUUUUGGCGGGAACGAAAAGGACUGUGCCAAUACCACGGUUCGAUGACGGUACCCGCAGAAUAAGCACCGGCUAACUACGUG
rnacentral:rRNA from 1 species